AGGAUUAUAGAAUGCUGGCAGAAGUGUAACACAGUGUGGGAGUCUGCUUUCAAAUGUUAAUGUCAUCAGUUAGUGACUUGGUUGAAGGAAAUGACUGUCAUAAGGAAAUAUGAUGCAGCCUUACUAAACAAUAUUUCUCAGUGGAGUGAAGAAAGCAAUAUUUAUUUUUGGAGUCAGUUCCCCAGAUCUUGGAUAUCCUGUCUGGAGAUAGCCAUGGUAGCAUAUGCCUGUGAUUCCAGCACUCAAGAGACAGAGGC